GUCCCUGUUGAACAGUGAAUAGCCCAUUGGAUUUUUAAUCCAAAGGUCGGGGGUUCGAAUCCCUCCAGGGAUG